rnacentral:lncRNA from 10 species
AGCCUGAGCUCUGUUCUGGGACCCCGCUUUACUGAAAUAAGAUAACCUUCAAUGUUUUAGCCCAGCAAAUCUCAUUGCCCCACAGCAUAAAACCAAGGUUGAGAGGCUUUCUGGGGUCCCUCAGCUGAUACAAGUGGGGUAUGCAUGGAGGACACUCCAUCUAUCCUGGGCAAAUUUCUUGAGCCUUGCAGACUGGCUUACAAUGUGUCACGGGCUUCUGUUGUCUUGCUGCCUAUCUGUAAGUAGUAAAAAGUCUCUUCAUGCAGCUUGUUGUAUGCACAGGUGUUUUCUCUCACUGGACUCAGACAAGUUGGUGACCCGCACACAAUAAACCUGCUCCACAACAAGAGGAGAAGGAAUUCCAGAGCUCAAAAUGGAGAAAGGAACAGAGUAAGAACAAUGGCUUCAGGAGGAAAAUGCAAUGAUAGAAGCUUUGAAAGAAAGACAACUAGAAU